CACUCCUUAAUGGCCCUGACAGACUUUUUUUACAAAAUAACUCUUUCAAAUUUUAGUAUUUACGAAAUAACCUUACCAAAAUUAUAUUUAAAAAAACUAACCAUCUUUUUGCAAUGUAGGAGCCAAGUUGGAAUUUUCUCUUAAAAAUGGUGAACGAUUUACCGCCUUUAUGAAAAUAGUGAAUGAUUCACCGCCUUCCUAAUUUCUCAAAAGAGCGGUGAAUCAUUCACCGUCUUUCACUUAUUUACUAAUUUUUUAUAUAUCCUAUAUAUAAUUCUAACAACCACAUAAAUAUUUCAAAAAAUCACAUAUAAUUUUAACAACUUGAAAAUUCUAAUAAUCUAUCCAUACAAUCCUAACAAUCAAAAAAAUUCUAAUAAUCUAUCUAUAUAAUCCUAACAAUCAACCAAAAAAUUCAAACGAUCCAUAUACAAUCCUAACAACCUCAAUUUUUUUCAACAAAUCACAUAUAAUUUUAACAACUUGAAAAAUCUAAUAAUCUAUCCGUACAAUCCUAACAAUAAAAAAAAAUCUUAAUAAUCUAUUCAUACAAUCAUAACAAUCAAACAAAAAUUUUAAUAAUCCAUAUACAAUCCAAACAACCUCACUUUUUUUUUUCUCAUAUAAUGUACGUACAAAUUUAACAACCUCAUCGUGUAAUAAAAAAUUACCAAGUCAAUGUAU
rnacentral:lncRNA from 1 species